UGUCGACGCUGCAUCCUAGCUCUGGUGGCAGUUGGCUACAGUAGUUGGCAGUUACUGGAGAGAAUCUAGUGAGAGACUUGGGAAAUGCCAGGAAUGGCUCCUGACUUCGUGCUGCUGCUACUUUGGGGAAAUGGACUAGGAGCAUCCCCACAGGCAAUAAACCCAGGGAAGGCAGUGGUGAUCCCAGAGACAGGCAUAUCUUGUAGUUUUGAUAGUUCAGAAGCAGGAGAAGUGACUUCAGCUGGGCGUUCAUUGAAUGGUUCCUGAGUUUUGACUGGACUACACUGGUCACCACCUUGAGAGAAUUUUCCCAGCCACAGAAGUCUGCUGGUGAAGAGGGUCUUUAGACUGGCACGAUUUCAAAGCUACUCAAGGCAGAUGGAGAAAUGAAAACUGAGAAUGCAUAAUAGGUUCACGUGCAGCAGCGUGAUCAGACUCCUCUGCCUCAGAAGUCAAAAGUGAAGGGGCCAGCCUGGGACUUCGGGAAGAAAACCCUGGAGAAGGCUUCACUCCUGCUAACCACCCAUGAGCACCAAAGCAGCAUCUUUGAAUAUCCUCAGGAGACGACAGUAGAGCUUGGUUAGAGAGAGAGCAAAGCGAUGGAUUAUGAAUUAAUUCAUAAAUACUAUUAGGGAGUUUAUUAUAAAUUGUUUUUGAAGAUUUUAAUAAAAAAGAAAACCUAGUUUUCAGAGAUUAGCUGAAAUAAGUCCCAAGAGAAGCUUUGCCAGAAGUUGCUUUUCCUUUUAACUUUCUAUUCUUCCUUUCUCACCUCCCAGGCAAUGGUGGAUUCCUGAGAGGACUCCUGUUGUUGGUGAAGCCCAUUUUGACUGUGUUCAAGUUUGUUCUUGUAUUAUUCCAUCUGGUGGCUCCCCAAACCGCUUUCUUUUUUUAGUCUCCUUGUAAAUAUUUACAUAAGAAGGUUCUUGCAACUGCAGGUUCCUAUAUUGGUGGAUUGGCGCAAAGCAUAGUCUUGACGUGUUUUAUUCCUUUUACGAACAAUUCGGUUAAGCGGAUUCUCUCCAAGCUCAUUAAAAAAUAGCCUUUCAUUUUAAUAACAUCAUCAGAAACGAAGUAGCACCAGAGGGGAAAAUAAGUUUGCAAUGUGCAGCCUCAAGUGGCAAUCUCUGAGCCACUCUUGGUGGUUGAUGCAAGAUUUGGUGAUUGUAGUUAAUGGCUGGAAUGCAGUAUGCAUUUAAAGGCAUCAUCUCCCUUGGCAGAACAAGGAGCUGUGGUGUUUUCUGGGACAGCCGAAUGCAUAAGAGAUCAGAUAAUUGGAUCAGGAGAUUAAGACUUGGUUCCCAAACUUCAGACUGUAGCUCAUCUGGCCUUCCUCCCUGAGGCACUAUCUUUGUUUGCUUUCUCUUCAUUGCCCUCCCUCCUGGGCAAGUCCAUCCUUGCCCACCACUUUAACUGACACUUCUUUAGAGGGAGCAGUCAAACCUCUCUGUUUAGCCUUACCCUCAUUUUUGAGCCCCAGUUCUGCAUUCCCGCUUUUCCUGAACUUUUUAAACAAGAUUGCCAUCACAGCUUAAACCUGACAGAACCAAAGCCAACCUCAACUCCUUCUGAACCUGGUCCCAUGCUUGCUCUUGUGAGUGCAACCUUCCAGCCUCGCUUGAACCAGCAUAAUUCCUAAAUCUGUCACCUUUGCCCCACCCCACCCCCAAAUCAAAUCAGUUGCCAGAUGAUGUUGAUUUUAAUGCUGCUUGAUGACUUCCAUGGGUACAUCUGUUUCUGUCCUCGCUGUCGUCAUCCCAGGUUGCCUUAAGCUGUAUGCGUUUAUUCAACAUAUGUGUUGAGUGGAUGCUUCCUGUAUACCAGACAUCUAACAGGUGCUGGAAAUAUAGAAGUGAAUAAGACAAGAAGAGAAUUUGCACCUGUAAAAUGCACAUCAAAAAAUUAAUGAUAAAACAUGUUAAAUCUGACCAUAUAGGAAAAAUAAGAGAAGUCACAGGCUUACCUGGCUUCUCAUACUACCAAGCUCUGAUACUAUUCAUUUGUCUGAUUAUGUCGUUUUUCUUCUCAAAUGACAUCAAUGCCCCUCAGUGUUACCUGCUCAUUUCAGACCAUGUAUUUAUUCAUUCACCACUCAUGAAUCUUUUGUUCUCCUUCAUGCCAUGUUCUUCAAUGUCUCCAUGCUCUUGCUAAUGUGUUUUCUUCUUCCCAUAGCAUUCUUCUUACCUCACUACACCCAGCCAUUCUUCACUUGGUUAAUCGAAGAGACACCCUGAUUAAUGCAGAUGUCAACACUUCAAGGAAGACAUCUCCACUCUUCACUGAAGCCUUUCAUAACACGCUCACAAGCUUUUUCUCCAUCCUUUCAUCCCAUCCAUUAGGUAACUGUUCACUCUUCAUAAUUCCAGGAGAGCCUCAUUGCAUUUGAUUCCAAUUAAUCUGUUCUGUGACACUAGCCUUGACCUAAACUUGGUGUUUGUAGAAAGCCUUUGAGUUAAGGUCCAUGUUUUUCCUAACACACAGUUUGAUUUGACUGACCCAUCUGGCCUUUGUCACUCCUGCAUGGGGGAGAAACUGUCUUCUUUAAGACACAGUCCACGGAAGCAUCUAUUAACUGGGUUUCUUGGUUAUUACUGGGUUGUGCUAGAUUUAAAACAUGCGGAAGAGAUCGUUUCUCUAUGACCAUUUUUUAUGUGACCUGGAAUAAAAGUGCAGGGCAUUAUAAAGUUUGGCAGCAGCAUUUUCAUAAGAAAUAUGAAGUUUUUGCUAGGAACUUCUUCUUAAAAAAGAAUAAAAGAAGUGGUAUUGUUCUGUGUUUCUUUUUUUCUUCAUCCAAUUUAUAGAUGGGAAGAGGAGGUUUAAAGAACUGCAAUUUGGAUGUGUUACAGUGAAUUAGAAGAGAUGACAGGGUUAUUAAAAAUCAGGUAUUAUACAAGUAAAUUUUGGUAUUUGAUCACCUGCAUUUCCAUGGCUUUAAUGAAAAUUGAUCGGUGGUGUUCCAUUCCGUUAGUCUACUGUGUUUUGAUUUCUUUAUAUUUAAUGCCCUCUCACCUGACCCUUUUAAAAUAAUAGGCGCGGUGGCUCAUGCCUGUAAUCCCAGCACUUUGGGAGGCCGAGGCGGGCGGAUCACGAGGUCAAGAGAUCGAGACCAUCCUGGUCAACAUGGUGAAACCCCGUCUCUACUAAAAAUACAAAAAAUUAGCUGGGCAUGGUGGCGCGUGCCUGUAAUCCCAGCUACUCAGGAAGCUGAGGCAUGAGAAUUGCCUGAACCCAGGAGGCGGAGGUUGCGGUGAGCUGAGAUCGUGCCAUUGCACUCCAGUCUGGGUAACAAGAGUGAAACUCCACCUCAAAAAAAAAAAAAAAAUAGACUGGCAUUCCUGAGGAUGCAGAGUGUCAGCUGUGCAGCAACAGAGAGCUGCUGAAGUCUGCUGAGCCAUACCUGGCCACAGCUGGAUUGAAGAUGGGUCUGAGUUCUGAGAAAGACUGUACACUCUCCCUAUUGGAAAAACAGACUUCAUUUCGGGAAAUAUUCAAUAAAACGUUUUGAGACACACAGAGUCCCAUUCAUGGUGAGAGAGAUCGAAGGUAGCUGUUUUCCCUCUUAAGGUUUGGCGCAGUCUGUAAGGAUACUAUUUAAUGUAAUCCAGAACUGAUUAUUUUGUUGAUCAUGUUUCAAAACCCCUGCCCUUUAAACAAGUUCCCAGAGUAAAUUGAAUGCAAUUGUGGGAAGUUUAACUUUUUAAAGGAAGUCUUGUUGUUAUUUUGAGACUGAGGGAGAGGAUUAUGGGAGAGGGUGACUGGAAACCUGCCCCCAAACUGAAAAAUCCAAGGGGAUGGGAGGAAGGAUGAACAGAGAAGAGAAAGACUAGAAUUCUGGGUCAGAAACUCUCGCUCAAUGAGUCAUCCCAUAGGACAAAUAAAACCUCACUCAUCACCCUGUCUUCCCUCUCUGCAGCGAGAGAAGCAAACACUGGGGCCCUGGAAAAACAUCAGUAACUUCUCGUAGCAUCUGUAGGUGGGGAUGGUUUCCAAGCCACUGAGAGGGCUGUGAACGCAGUUACUGGGGCUCCAGUUUUUCUCAGCCAAGUAGGAAGAACCUCCAAAUUGACCUUGGAAAAACAUACUCAAUGAAGGAAAAAAAUAUGGUAAGUUCUCCCUGUGUAUUUGUAUUAGAGAUUUUUUUUUUAAAGAAACAAAUACAUUGCUUUCCAGUUUUCCAUGAAAAGAGUUUGAAUACUCUCAUAUUCACCAUGGUAAAAUCCUUAGAGUGGGGUUUGAAAGGCUGUAGACAGGACAUAAGCUUCACCCUCUUUAAUAAGCACAAGGUCAUCCACACAGUACAACUGUAUUCAUAUUAAAAAGCCUAAGGGGGAAACCAUUCUUGCCACUCCUUUCAGCAAAGAUUGAAAUUAGCAUUUUUAUGAAGAACAUAAACUCUCUGCGUAUCAAAGAUGCACUUUUAUUACUCUGAAACUGGCUCGAAUAAGCAUCCUGAAAACAUUUGGCUCUUUCUCCUCCAGGAAGAGGCCAAUUAAAACACAGUCUGUCUAACUGCCAGUCCCUACCCACUCUUCAGUGGGGCAACAACAAUACCGAGAU